CACCUCCACACGUUCCUCUCUCACAGAGCAGCUCCACCAGACCUUCAGGAAACAUCUGGCUCUGGUGGAUCUGCUGAAGGGCUUCAGAAAACCACAACUGCUCUGAGUUUUUCGCUGAGGCCGUGGCAGAGGACAGAGAGGAUGAGUGAUAUCCGAGCCUGCAGCACUCUGAGACGUGACCCUGUGACCCUGGGCUUAUGGACUGGAGGCUGGGAACAAAAAUGGUGGAUCAUGGAUAUGGAUUUCUGGAUUAUUAAAAAACAACAAAAAAACAAACAUGACCGCCAUUAGCCAAUCAGCUUUCAGACGGUGUUUCCCUGUGUUUCAGCUUCUGGAGAGGAGUAACUUCAUCCAGCAUUGCUUUAGUGUUCUGUGGAAUGUGACAGGAACCUGGAAAACAGGGCUGCAUCACACAACUUUCUUUCUUAAUCUCGUCAGUCCCACAUUUUUAACACUUUGCUUUCUCUGUUGCAUUUUAGAUGGUUGUAAUCUUCUCCAUAGAAUUAUAAUGCUUUAAUAAACAGACAGUAUAUUUAAGUAAGUAAUUAUUUGGAUUAAAAAAAUAGUUGCAUAAACCUCUACAGUACUGAAUACUAAACUCUGUGAAUACUGAACACUGUGUCAUGAAGGAAUAUUAAUUCUACAAAAUAUAUCUAUAUUUUUCUUAGCGUUUGUCCUGUGCAAUGGAAGGGUCCGCUGUUUUUGGUGGAUCAUUUGAUCCGCAUGAUUUGGCACAGGUUUUAUGCCUGAUGCCCUUCCUGUCGCAACCCUCCCAUUUUUAUCCAAGCUUGGGACCAGCACCAAGAGUUAAUUCUUCAGUGGCUGGGGUGGCGCACUGCCUGGGAAUCGAACCUGGGCCACAGCAAUGAGAACGCGGGAUCCUGCCACUGGACCACCAGGAGGCCAAUUCUAUAAAAUAUUAAAAUGUAAAAAUUACAAAACACAAUAACAGAUCUUGU